rnacentral:rRNA from 1 species
GUGGGGAAUAUUGCACAAUGGGGGAAACCCUGAUGCAGCAACGCCGCGUGAGUGAUGACGGUCUUCGGAUUGUAAAGCUCUGUCUUCAGGGACGAUAAUGACGGUACCUGAGGAGGAAGCCACGGCUAACUACGUGCCAGCAGCCGCGGUAAUACGUAGGUGGCAAGCGUUGUCCGGAUUUACUGGGCGUAAAGGGUGCGUAGGUGGAUAUUUAAGUGGGAUGUGAAAUACUCGGGCUUAACCUGGGUGCUGCAUUCCAAACUGGAUAUCUAGAGUGCAGGAGAGGAAAGUAGAAUUCCUAGUGUAGCGGUGAAAUGCGUAGAGAUUAGGAAGAAUACCAGUGGCGAAGGCGACUUUCUGGACUGUAACUGACACUGAGGCUCGAAAGCGUGGGGAGCAAACAGGAUUAGAUACCCUGGUAGUCC